rnacentral:lncRNA from 1 species
CUGCAGACACCUGGGUGUGGAUAGAAAUACAAGUGGGCAUCUGCUCUACGAUCACUUGGAAUGGCAGUCCUUCUCUAAUCUCUUGGGUACUGGUAGGGUCUGUAGACUGGACUGGGCUUUUGGGAAUCAUGAACCUGUUUGCUGGGUUGGCAGUGCUAUCUCUGUUAUUCUCCAAGGUUUGGCUCCAAGAUUAUCCAAUUGGACGACCUGAUAUUCUCCAACUCAAAAUGGAUUCGGGAUUUGGAUCAAGAGUAUUUCUUGUGUGGAACUCUUCCUAAUUCCUCAGGCCCUAGUGACUUCUCCCCAUGCCCAAAGGAACUUGUAUUUAUUUUCUGCACUUUUUUUUGGUUUCUCUACCUGGGAAUCUCUUUUUUUUUCCCUAGAUAAAUG